CUCUCUCUCUCUCUCCCUCUAUCUCUCUUUCAGCAUGUGUUUGACUAUAAUGAGCAUAGCAGCAUGUGUGCUGUUGACAUGGCUGGCUCGCUGUGUGAGAGGAGGAGGGGACGCCACACACGAGGGAGGAGACUCAGACAAUAUGAUUUCUGCACUUGUUCUGCUGAGAGUACUCGUUGGAGGGUUGCACUGCUGCCGCCAGAACAAUAACAAC